GGAAGAACAGCGAGACCAGAGCCUGAGAUCCACAGAGCUUAGAAGGUCCAUCCUCCCUUGGGAAUCAGAACACUAUAGCAAAGCUCCCUACAGGUGGCUGUACAUGUUGGCUGGGAUCUGAAUCCUACAGAGUAAUCCAGGGGAUUUUAAGACUGAUUCACAUGACGAUAGCCAUAAAACCACUCAACAGAAGCAACCCUAGAGAUGGCCAUAGCCCAGGAGAGGGAUAACGGGAUCAUGCAGGAAAUAUUGCAAAAUGAAGGCCAGCAAUUGUUGCAGCUCACAAAGUGCACACUAGGCAAGACUGCUCCCUACGUUUCUCCUCUGGUAGCAUGCACAUCACCUUCCAGCACUAUGAAUUCUUGCCAGUAGUGAUGAAGCUCCCAGGUCAGUACCAGCUUGAAUUCCUUAUGUCUUGUGCUCCUAUAUAUGACAUCUCCGGCAAUAGUUUUACCGCCAAGUUCUGGGGGUAACCAAGAACAUUGGCAAUAUCCAGUAAUUUGGGGUAUCUAUGGGACUUCACUGAACAACAACUCCAAAACAGGUAAGCUAUUCCUGGUUAUGGCUUUUCAUUUGUUGGCCUGUGGUAUCUGGUAGGGUUGCCCUGUUACAGGGUAACUCCAUUGAAUAUCUAUUAAUAUGUGUGCAUGUGGAUGUUUUAGGAAGCUUCUACAGUAGUAGGUUUCCAUAUGACUUUCUCAAGAUAUCUUUAAUGUUACUUAUCUGUCUCUACUCUAAACAGGACGUGUAUAACAUAGCACCCCCACUCAAGGUUUAGGAAUCAUGAAAGAAAAGAGGACAGAAAGAUUGUAAGAGCCAGAGUCAGUGGCCAACUAUAAGAACACUGUUUCCUAGACUCAGCAAGGCACAUAAGCAUCCACAGCAGCUAAGACAAUGCACAUAAGAGUUGCAAAGCUCAAUCCAGUCGAAAUCUCAUUACAGAAAGGAGAGGUGGUAGCAAAGUCCCACCUGCAGCUAAGGAACAAUGGCAAUUGAUGGCUGUGAAGAGGGAGAAAGUCAGUUGACCAUGCUCCACUGAAGAUCACACAUCCAAGAGCAUACAGGAACACAGCGCUUGGUGUGUGAGUGAACUAAAAAGGAAAAAAAAAAAAAGAAAGAAAAA